rnacentral:lncRNA from 1 species
GAGGUCAAAACACAAUUUAAAAAAGUAGUGUCAUGUCAGCAGCCACGUCAGCAACCCGGUCAGCAGCCCCGGUCAACCAGGACAUGCCGUGUAGCAGGGACGUUGAUGCGGGGAGCCACGCAGGACGGAGACAUGUGGGCGAACUGUGUGUGCGCGAUCAGACAGCCCAGAUCCGUUCCCGCGUACACGAACUGCCCAGAUCAAGAGUGCGUGCGGACAGCCCAGAUCUCAUGCGUGCAGACGGCCCAGAUUCAUUC